rnacentral:rRNA from 1 species
UGGGGAAUAUUGGACAAUGGGCGAAAGCCUGAUCCAGCAAUGCCGCGUGAGUGAUGAAGGCCUUAGGGUUGUAAAGCUCUUUUACCAGGGAUGAUAAUGACAGUACCUGGAGAAUAAGCUCCGGCUAACUCCGUGCCAGCAGCCGCGGUAAUACGGAGGGAGCUAGCGUUGUUCGGAAUUACUGGGCGUAAAGCGUGCGUAGGCGGCCAUUCAAGUCAGAGGUGAAAGCCUGGAGCUCAACUCCAGAACUGCCUUUGAAACUAGAUGGCUAGAAUCUUGGAGAGGUGAGUGGAAUUCCGAGUGUAGAGGUGAAAUUCGUAGAUAUUCGGAAGAACACCAGUGGCGAAGGCGACUCACUGGACAAGUAUUGACGCUGAGGUACGAAAGCGUGGGGAGCAAACAGGAUUAGAUACCCCCGUAGUCCCUGAGCGGGC